rnacentral:misc_RNA from 1 species
AACGCACAUUGCGCCCUUUGGUAUUCCGAGGGGCAUGCCUGUUCGAGCGUCAUUUCACCACUCAAGCCUGGCUUGGUAUUGGGCGCCGCGGUCUGCCGCGCGCCUCAAUGUCUCCGGCUGAGCUGUCCGUCUCUAAGCGUUGUGGCAUCACGUUUCCGCUUUGGAGCACGGGGAGUUCGCGCCGUUAAACAUUUUCUUAAGGUUGACCUCGGAUCAGGUAGGGAUACCCGCUGAACUUAA